ensembl:lncRNA
CAAGUUUGUUGAGUUUAGUAAACUUCGGUGUAAUUAGAAUACCAAGGAAAAAAAUAACACUUAAAGAAUUAUUGCAGCUGUGGAAUAUUUCAGACAGUAUGCUACUGAGGGCAGCUAACAUAAGAGUUAUGAGUUAUAAGAUGUAAUCUAAGUCGUAACAUUGCUGUAUGGAGCUGCAGAUUUGGUUGCAGGUUAACAUAGCUGGACUGGCCAUCGGGCAUAUCCCCAGUGACUUAUUUUUUAUUUUUUUUGUAAUGGCAUGAACAAUGAGAGGUGGUGGAUUGGCCAGAUGCAGGUCGAUGUGUAGCAAUAACUCCGUUGUUUGGUGGUGGCUAUGACGGGGCUUCCACAGAGGCAACAGGUGGAUGAGGGAAGGGGAGGCAGGAGGAGAGCCCCGAAGCAGCCACCAGUCCGAGUGUCAGGUGAACUGAACUUCAGCUCACUCUAUGUUCAUGACAUAGCAUCACCUCCUGUCUAGAAGGUGCGGUGCUCUGAACGGAUAAUUGGAGGUGAGCUUCCCUCCCUCCAAGACAUCUACAGGAAGCGGUGCCUGAGGAAAGCGGGGAGGAUCAUCAAGGACUCCAGUCACCCCAGCCAUAAACUGUUCAGACUGCUUCCAUCAGGAAGGAGGUUCUGCAGCAUCCGGUCCCGAUCCAGCAGACUGAGAGACAGCUUCUUCCAUCAGGCCAUCAGACUGCUGAACACGUCAUAGACACCUCAGCUUCACUACUGGAACUUCAACAUUAUGCACUCCACACUGUAUAUAAAUGCCACUUGUUUUGCACAUAUUCAACUCUGUAUAUUUUAUAUAUUUUAUUAUUAUUAUUAUUAUUAUUUUAUUUUAUUUUUUUACUAUUUAAUUUGUAAAAAUGUGCAUACACACACACACACACACACACACGUAGGAAAAUAUUUAGUAUACACAUCCAGAAAUGCAUACACUAUUAUAUAUUGUACAUAUAUUUAUUAGUUUCAGGUUGGCCAUUCUUGUAUUUUGCUCGUUUGUGUUGUUGUGUUUGCACAUCUCUGUUGCUUGUGGGGCUCGCACACAAGAAUUUCACUCGCAUGUGCUGUGCCAGUGUGCCUGCACAUGUGAUGUGACAAUAAAAAGUGAUUUGAUUUGUGAUUUGAUUC